ensembl:misc_RNA Metazoa_SRP Metazoan signal recognition particle RNA
GCCGGGUGUGGUGGCUCACGCCUGUAAUCCCAGCACCUUGGGAGGCUGGGGUGAGUGGAUCACUUGAGGUCAGGAGUUCGAGACCAGCCUGGCCAACAUGGUGAAACCUCAUCUCUA